AGAGUUUGAUCAUGGCUCAGAAUGAACGUUGGCGGCGUGGAUUAGGCAUGCAAGUCGUACGAGAAUCGUAGCAAUACGAGGAAAGUGGCGAAAGGGAGAGGAUUACGUGGGAAUCUACCCUCAGACCUGGGAUAGCGGCGGGAAACUGCCGGUAAUACCAGAUAAUGUCUUUGGACUAAAGGUGUGAUUCCGUCUGGGGAUGAGCCCACGUCCUAUUAGCUUGUUGGUGGGGUAAUGGCCUACCAAGGCAAUGAUGGGUAGCGGGUGUGAGAGCACGACCCGCCUCACUGGGACUGAGAUACUGCCCAGACACCUACGGGUGGCUGCAGUCGAGAAUCUUCGGCAAUGGGCGAAAGCCUGACCGAGCGACGCCGCGUGCGGGAUUGAAGGCCUUCGGGUUGUAAACCGCUGUCGUAGGGGAGCAAGAGAAGAGGGUUCUCCCUCUAAUUUGAGCGAUCCUAGGAGGAAGGACGGGCUAAGUUCGUGCCAGCAGCCGCGGUAAGACGAACCGUCCGAACGUUAUUCGGUAUCACUGGGCUUAAAGAGUUCGUAGGCGGCUCCGUAGGUGAGGUGUGAAAUCCCUCGGCUCAACCGAGGAAAUUGCCGCUUCAAACCGUGGAGCUAGAGGAAGAUAGGGGUGAGCGGAACAGAUGGUGGAGCGGUGAAAUGCGUUGAUAUCAUCUGGGAACACCGGUGGCGAAAAGCGGCUCGCUGGAUCUUUUCUGACGCUGAGGAACGAAAGCUAGGGGAAGCGAACGGGAUUAGAUACCCCGGUAGUCCUAGCCCGUAAACGAUGAGCACUAGUCUGUGGGGACCCUCACAUCCUCUCGGACGUAGCGAAAGUGUUAA
rnacentral:rRNA from 1 species